AAUGUAGGCGGUUUUGCAAGUCAGGGGUGAAAUCCCUCAGCUUAACUGAGGAAGUGCCUUUGAAACUGCAUAACUAGAGGACAGGAGAGGAAAGUGGAAUUCCCGGUGUAGCGGUGGAAUGCGUAGAUAUCGGGAGGAGCACCAGAGGCGAAGGCGGCUUUCUGGACUGAUCCUGACGCUGAGAUUCGAAAGCUAGGGGAGCAAACAGGAUUAGAUACCCUGGUAGUCC
rnacentral:rRNA from 1 species